UACAGAGGGGGCAAGCGUUAUUCGGAAUUAUUGGGCGUAAAGGGCGCGUAGGCGGCUUUCAAGUGACGGGUGAAAUCCCUCGGCUUAACCGAGGAACUGCCUGUCAGACUGGAAGGCUUGAGACCGGGAGAGGUGAGUGGAAUUCCCCAGUGUAGCGGUGAAAUGCGUAGAUAUUGGGAGGAACACCAGUGGCGAAGGCGGCUCACUGGACCGGAACUGACGCUGAGGCGCGAAAGCGUGGGGAGCAGACAGG
rnacentral:rRNA from 1 species